rnacentral:sRNA from 10 species
GGCGCUGGUGGUGGCACGCCUGGCACUGCCGGGCCGGGGUUCGAGUCCCCGCGGCCCC